rnacentral:rRNA from 1 species
GACGAACGCUGGCGGCGUGCUUAACACAUGCAAGUCGAACGGAAAGGCCCUGCUUUUGUGGGGUGCUCGAGUGGCGAACGGGUGAGUAACACGUGAGUAACCUGCCCUUGACUUUGGGAUAACUUCAGGAAACUGGGGCUAAUACCGGAUAGGAGCUCCUGCUGCAUGGUGGGGGUUGGAAAGUUUCGGCGGUUGGGGAUGGACUCGCGGCUUAUCAGCUUGUUGGUGGGGUAGUGGCUUACCAAGGCUUUGACGGUCAGCCGGCCUGAGAGGGUGACCGGCCACAUUGGGACUGAGAUACGGCCCAGACUCCUACGGGAGGCAGCAGUGGGGAAUAUUGCACAAUGGGCGGAAGCCUGAUGCAGCAACGCCGCGUGCGGGAUGACGGCCUUCGGGUUGUAAACCGCUUUCGCCUGUGACGAAGCGUGAGUGACGGUAAUGGGUAAAGAAGCACCGGCUAACUACGUG